rnacentral:rRNA from 1 species
AGAGUUUGACUCCGUGGCUCAGGACGAACGCUGGCGGCGUGCCUAAUACAUGCAAGUCGAGCGGACCGGAUUGGGGCUUGCCUUGAUUCGGUCAGCGGCGGACGGUGAGUAACACGUGGGCAACCUGCCCGCAAGACCGGGAUAACUCCGGGAAACCGGAGCUAAUACCGGAUAACACCGAAGACCGCAUGGUCUUCGGUUGAAAGGCGGCCUUUGGGCUGUCACUUGCGGAUGGGCCCGCGGCGCAUUAGCUAGUUGGUGAGGUAACGGCUCACCAAGGCGACGAUGCGUAGCCGGCCUGAGAGGGUGACCGGCCACACUGGGACUGAGACACGGCCCAGACUCCUACGGGAGGCAGCAGUAGGGAAUCUUCCGCAAUGGGCGAAAGCCUGACGGAGCGACGCCGCGUGAGCGAAGAAGGCCUUCGGGUCGCAAAGCUCUGUUGUGAGGGACGAAGGAGCGCCGUUCGACGAGGGCGGCGCGGUGACGGUACCUCACGAGAAAGCCCCGGCUAACUACGUG